rnacentral:lncRNA from 1 species
AUAAUUUUUGUUGCGAUUGUGUGAGGUUCGGUGGAAGUGGAAUUCUGAGGUAAUUGGAUGUGGUUAGUGGGUAGAAUUUUGGGGGAUUUAGGUAUUAGUGGGGAGUUAGGAUAAUUUCUUUUAGUUUAAUUUAAUUUAAUUUUUAUUUUUUCUUUUUCCCAAAAAUCCUUGGUUUCUAACUUUUUUUCCUUUCUUCCCAUUAUUGCGCUCUGUCGAUUUUCUUCCUUUUUCCCUAUUUGGUUCUGCCAUAAUUCUUUAAUCAUAUCGCUUUGCUUUGAAUUCAUGGUUCCUUCGUUCGGUUCGGUAAGUG